rnacentral:rRNA from 1 species
UACGGAGGGGGCUAGCGUUGUUCGGAAUUACUGGGGCGUAAAGCGCGCGUAGGCGGCUUUGUAAGUUAGAGGUGAAAGCCCGGAGCUCAACUCCGGAAUUGCCUUUAAGACUGCAUCGCUAGAAUCAUGGGAGAGGUGAGUGGAAUUCCGAGUGUAGAGGUGAAAUUCGUAGAUAUUCGGAAGAACACCAGUGGCGAAGGCGACUCACUGGACAUGUAUUGACGCUGAGGUGCG